rnacentral:rRNA from 1 species
GACGGAGGAUGCAAGCGUUAUCCGGAAUGAUUGGGCGUAAAGCGUCCGCAGGUGGCAGUUCAAGUCUGCUGUCAAAGACCGGGGCUUAACUUCGGAAAGGCAGUGGAAACUGAACAGCUAGAGUAUGGUAAGGGCAGAGGGAAUUCCUGGUGUAGCGGUGAAAUGCGUAGAGAUCAGGAAGAACAUCGGUGGCGAAGGCGCUCUGCUGGACCAUAACUGACACUCAGGGACGAAAGCUAGGGGAGCGAAUGGG